rnacentral:tRNA from 1 species
GCGGGUGUAGCUCAAUGGUUAGAGCCCCUGCCUUCCAAGCAGGAUAUGCGAGUUCGAUUCUCGUCACCCGCUCCA